UUAACCUUCGGGAGGGCGCUUACCACUUUGUGAUUCAUGACUGGGGUGAAGUCGUAACAAGGUAACCGUAGGGGAACCUGCGGUUGGAUCACCUCCUUACCUUAAAGAAGC
rnacentral:rRNA from 5 species